rnacentral:snoRNA from 1 species
GACAUGUCACUUUCUUACAUUUCUCUCUGUGGACAUGUCACGAAAUGUAAGAAAGUGACAUGUCCACAGAGAGAAAUGUAAGAGAGUGACAUGUCCACAGAGAGAAAUGUAAGAGAGUGACUUGUCCACAGAGAGAAAUGUAAGAAAGUACACAUUUCUCUCUGUGGACAUGUCACUUUCUUACAUUUC